rnacentral:rRNA from 1 species
UACGUAGGGGGCAAGCGUUGUCCGGAAUCAUUGGGCGUAAAGCGCGUGUAGGCGGCUCGGUAAGUCUGCUGUGAAAGUCCAGGGCUCAACCCUGGGAUGCCGGUGGAUACUGUCGAGCUCGAGUCCGGAAGAGGCGAGUGGAAUUCCUGGUGUAGCGGUGAAAUGCGCAGAUAUCAGGAGGAACACCAAUAGCGAAGGCAGCUCGCUGGGACGGUACUGACGCUAAGGCGCGAAAGCGUGGGGAGCGAACAGG